rnacentral:rRNA from 1 species
CCUACGGGUGGCAGCAGUGGGGAAUAUUGCACAAUGGGGGAAACCCUGAUGCAGCAACGCCGCGUGAGCGAUGAAGGCCUUCGGGUCGUAAAGCUCUGUCCUAAGGGAAGAAUACUGACGGUACCUUAGGAGGAAGCCCCGGCUAACUACGUGCCAGCAGCUGCGGUAGUACGUAGGGGGCAAGCGUUAUCCGGAAUUACUGGGCGUAAAGGGUGCGUCGGCGGCCCUUCAGGUCAGAGGGUAAAGGCUACGGAUCAACCGUAGUAACCCUUUGAAACUGUAGGGCUUGAGUGCAGGAGAGGAGAGCGGAAUUCCCAGUGUAGCGGUGAAAUGCGUAGAUAUUGGGAGGAACACCAGUUGCGAAGGCGGCUCUCUGGACUGUAACUGACGGUGAGGCACGAAAGCGUGGGGAGCGAACAGGAUUAGAUACCCUAGUAGUC